AUGAGACUUGGCCCCAUCUCCUAGGGAAGCUUAAAUUUAUCAGAUUUCUCAACACCUGCGAUCAAAAUUUAACGGCCACAAAGGCUCGAGCGCAAAUCUAAAAAACUUGAUCAUGCCCACAGAAAAUCAAAACUGUAGACUAGUUAUCUCACUGCUUCACUGGUUACAGUUUACUCGACGCUAAACACUGAGCUUAAAGGCACAAAGAUCAAAGCUUCUAAGAGCCAAGAAUUCAAAGUGCCUAAAAGCUAAUACCCAAGAACCAGGAAAUUAGCAGCAGAUGGGUUUUACCAUGGGCUUGAACCUGCUGCUCCUCCUAGCCAUGGUGGCUACCAACAUCCUGUCCCUCUACCACCUCUCUGCUCCCACUCUUCAAUCCCCCAAACCCCCAGCUCCUUUGCAAGUCCCAGACCAUCUUCUCCACCAAUUGCAAACUAUACGCGCCACCAUUAACCACCUCACGCGCCACCAACCAUCAAACCCCACCACUCCCACCACCUCUCAAUCCAAACCCACCAUCCCUUCAGAUCUCCUCCUCUAUUCGCACGUAUCCCCCAUAGCCUCUUCCUGUCACAACCACCCUGACCUUCUCCACAAGUACAUGAGCUACACUCCUUACUCUCUUUGCCCUCUUGACUCUGAUCUUGCUGAGUCUUUAAUCCUCCGUGGCUGCCACCCUCUCCCUCGUCGCCGAUGCUUCUCCAGAACCCCAUCAAAACCCCCUUCUUCUCUCCCACGUAACCCUUUCCCUUCCUCAUUUGUUGACUCUAAUGUAAUAUGGGCUCAAUAUUCUUGCAAAUCCUUUUCUUGUCUUGCUAAACAGAGCCCGAAUCUUGGUUUUGAUAUAAGCGCUGAGAUCUCAAGGUUUAUGACAUAUAAAACAGAGUUAGAUCUCCCAAUUCCACAACUGCUACAAGUAGCCAAAUCAGCUAAUUCUUUGAUCAGACUUGGUAUUGAUAUUGGCGGCGGUACUGGUACUUUCGGAGCAAGAAUGAAGCAGUACAAUGUGACUGUAAUCACUACCACAAUGAAUUUCAAUGCGCCUAAUAAUGAAGUGGUGGCAAUCAGAGGUUUGGUGCCACUUCACGUGCCAUUACAGCAGCGGUUGCCGGUGUUUGAUGGGGUGGUGGAUCUGGUGAGGUGUGGACGUGCAGUGAACAGGUGGAUACCAUUGAAGAUGAUGGAGUUUUUGUUCUAUGAUGUGGAUAGGGUGUUGAGAGGUGGUGGCUACUUCUGGUUGGAUCAUUUCUUUAGUAAAGGGGUGGAUCUUGAUAAGAUUUAUGGGCCUUUGAUUGGAAAGUUGGGUUACAAGAAGGUGAAAUGGGCAGUGGGGAAUAAGACUGAUUCAAGUGGCUUGAAGAAUGGGGAGGUUUACUUGACUGCACUUUUGCAGAAGCCCGUAGCAAGAUGAGAAUCAGAUAUUGGACUGUAGGUAACUUGUUCAUUGUAAUUUAUAAUAGUAGCCCCUUGCUGGUACAUUUUCUUUUGCAGUCUAUAAAUGCAUAUGAAUUUAGCCUUCAUUGUUCAACUUGAUGACAUUGUGCUUGGCUAAUGUAUUCAUGAUCUAAGCUGGAAAUGACUAUCCUAAUAUUAAAUGGCAUUUACAUAUUAGUUGAACUGUUGAAGUGUUCCAAACUAAUAUGUCUCUGUUUGGGAUUGAGGUUAGGUGACAAAAAACUCAUGUAAAAUAUUUUAUCCACAACGGUGAAUUUAAACCUUAGAAGGGAAAAAAAAAAGACGCAUACUACGUGGGAAAAAAUAAAGAUAGAGCUUUAGACGUAACCAUAUAAAUUUACUUGAUGGCAGUUCAGAACAGGAGUCACUGUAACCGAUAUCACACCCAAAAAAAAAAAGAAAAAAAGCCAUAUUAUCCUGUGUUCUCCCUAUUGGAAACUAUAACCUGGAGUGUAAAUAGCAAGAUCAGGCCAUCCAUUACUAUUUCCCCAAUCACCACUCUGCAAAUAACUCUCACCACCACCACCACCACCUCCAACUCCGCCUUCUUUAGCUCAUCCUCUUAGAUCGGAUCCCUACACAUUAACCCAUGAAAGCACCAUAACCAAUGUUUACUAACCACAAACAAAUUUCCAAACUCCUUUUUUUCUUUAAACGUCUUUUGCCCAUUUUGUACGCAUAUUUCUGAAAUGGGUUUUGUUUCUGUUCGUGGCUUGUCUUAAUAUACAUAGGAGAUUUUAUUUUAUUUUAUUAAAGACAAAGAAUAAUCAGUAAAUGGGAAAUGUAACGUCUAAUGUGGCAGCGAAAUUCGCCUUCUUUCCCCCAGACCCACCAACCUACGAUGUAUGUAGAGAGGAAGAUGGGAGGCUGGUGUUGCCGAGGGUCUCAGCUGACAAGAACAUUGACGUACAUUUGUUGGAAACCAAAGGCGGGAACAAGAUUGUGGCCACGUUUUGGAAACACCCUUUUGCCAGGUUCACCCUCUUGUACUCCCAUGGAAACGCUGCUGACCUUGGCCAAAUGCAUGAGCUCUUCAUUGAGCUCAGAGCUCAUUUGAGGGUCAAUAUUAUGAGCUAUGAUUAUUCAGGAUAUGGGGCAUCUUCUGGCAAGCCAUCUGAAUUCAACACGUACUGUGACAUAGAGGCUGUGUACAAUUGUUUGAAGAAGGAUUAUGAAGUUAAGCAAGAAGAUUUGAUCUUGUAUGGCCAAUCUGUUGGAAGUGGACCUACUCUGCAUUUAGCUUCUCGUUUGCAGAGGUUGAGAGGAGUUGUUCUUCACAGUGCGAUCCUUUCAGGCAUACGGGUCUUGUAUCCUGUGAAGAUGACGUUUUGGUUUGACAUUUACAAGGUAGUCACCGGUUCCUUCCAUCUUUUGUACCUCUUUGUAAUAAUAAAUUACUUCUUUUUUUCUUAAUUGGAGGACUUUUCUAUCAUUUACAGAAUAUAGACAAAAUACGGCUUGUCAAUUGUCCAGUUCUGGUUAUACAUGUAAGUUACAUGUCAUUAUUUGCAACUUAUUCCCUUUGUUUCCAUGGAACUUUUUCCAUUCUUGUUAAGACUUGUUGUUUUCCCUAGUGAAGUUUGCAUGUCACUAAAUUAAGAAAAAUAAAAACAUAAACCUGUGAUUACCAAUUGCUUAUUGCAUGUUUAUUUUCAUGAUGCCAUGGCGUUGCUAGCAUAUUAUACUGCCUGUGUUUCUUAGCAAAUAUUAGUGUAAGAUUGUGUUUGAUGGUAAAUGGCACCAUAAUUGGAGAUAAAACCACUCUGCAGCUGGCAAUAAGAAAAUUUGAUUUGAUAAUUAGCUAAACAAAUCAGUCUCUGAGUUUGUAAUGUUUUGGAAUUUUGCUUUUUUAUUAUCAGUUUGAGGUAGUAUAAUGUUGUAUUUGCUUAUGCUGUGUUAUAAGAAUAAAACAGAAAUGUAGUAAAUCUAUACAAUUUCAGGAACCUCCAUUGUCUGGCAGUGAAAAAUCCUAGAAAGUUUUCUGCUCAAUAUUACAUUACCAAUUAACUUCAGUUCUGAAAACUUUAAUAAUCUAGAGUAGUUUCACAUUGUUUAAUGGCUGAAGGAAGUACGCUGAAGAAUUUCAUGUCACAAACAUUGGAAACACAAAAGGAAAAAAGGAAGCACACUGGUAACUAAAUAAGGAAGCCUUCUUAAUUAGAUUGUAAGUUUUAAAUUUUUAAUUGGCUUCUUGGAAUCCUUCAAUUUCAUAGAAAUUAUAAACCAUCAUGUGAAGAAAAUAAUGCAUGGUUAACAAACCAGAUUUGCACAUUGCUCAAAUUAGUAGAAACCAGAAUACUGAGGAUCAAGCUUCUGUCAUUUUCUUCCUAUAUCUGGCACAUCCACAAUUUCUCUCUGCUUAUGUUUGUGAGCAUGGUUGUUAUCAUAUGGUUGCUUGCAUAUACCUUUGGUAUCAGACACCCCUUAAUCGCAAAUAUAUGCUUGUCUCAUAUGUGACUAUUUACUCUACCAUGAUUCUAAUUGGUUUCUGGUUGAAUCUGUACAUUUGCAUUUUCAUUUCUGAUUUUUGUCAUUAAACAUUCCCAGGGAACAAAUGAUGACAUUGUUGAUUGGUCUCAUGGGAAGCGCCUAUGGGAACUUGCCAAGGAAAAGUACGACCCCUUAUGGGUCAAAGGUGGUGGCCAUUGCAACCUUGAAACUUAUCCCGAGUAUAUCAAGCACUUGCGGAAGUUCAUGAAUGCAAUGGAGAAAAUAUCCAUUGCGAAACCAGCAAAGCAGCUCACUUCUAAUCCAAGCAUUGACAUAAAACAGAACAAGUGCUUAAGAUGGAAAAAGGCAGCAACUCAAGAGUAGUUCAUUAAUACAGAUAGUUUCAUCGCAAGAAGAAUCCAUAUCCAAGGUUAAAUCUGCUUGCUUUGUGGACUCGGCAAUUGGCAGCCAAGCAUGUUACUGCCUGGUAUGUUUCUAGAGAUAAGGAAUUAAUCGCAAUUACACCUUGUAUGUUUGAUCCAAGUCCUGUUAAGAUAAAUUUUUUAGGCUAGGGAGCUUCUAUAUGUGUCUUCGAAAACGAUGUUCCUAAUGUUGUAUUGGAAAGGUAACCCAAAUGUGCUUGAUCUGGGUUUCUUGUAUAAUUUAACAGAGUUGUUGUGUGUAAAAUCUGUUUCAGAAAAGCAAAUACAUGAUAGUUCCUUUUGUUUCUUUUGACCAUUGGCCUUUUUCUUUCUGUGAGUCUUCAAUACAUUAAAC
rnacentral:misc_RNA from 1 species